UACAGAGGGGGCGAGCGUUGUUCGGAAUUACUGGGCGUAAAGGGCGCGUAGGCGGCCUUCUAAGUCGAACGUGAAAUCCCCGGGCUCAACCCUCGAAAGCCGGUGGAUACUGUCGGACUAGAGUGCGGAAGAGGCGAGUGGAAUUCCUGGUGUAGCGGUGAAAUGCGCAGAUAUCAGGAGGAACACCGGUGGCGAAGGCGGGUCUCUGGGCCGAUACUGACGCUGAGGAGCGAAAGCGUGGGGAGCGAACAGG
rnacentral:rRNA from 1 species